rnacentral:rRNA from 1 species
UACGUAGGGGGCAAGCGUUGUCCGGAUUUAUUGGGCGUAAAGAGCUCGUAGGUGGUUUGGUAAGUCGGAUGUGAAAUCUCCAGGCUCAACCUGGAGGGGUCAUUCGAUACUGCCAUGACUAGAGGUCGGUAGGGGAGUGUGGAAUUCCUGGUGGAGCGGUGAAAUGCGCAGAUAUCAGGAGGAACACCCGUAGCGAAGGCGGCACUCUGGGCCGAUUCUGACGCUGAGGAGCGAAAGCGUGGGGAGCGAACAGG